GAUGAACGCUGGCGGCAGGCUUAAUACAUGCAAGUCGAGGGGUAGCAAGAUUGUAGCAAUACAAUUGUUGACGACCGGCAAACGGGUGCGGAACACGUACACAACCUUCCUACAAGUGGGGAAUAGCCCAGAGAAAUUUGGAUUAAUACCCCGUAACAUAGCGAUGUGGCAUCACAUUGCUAUUAUAGCCUCGGCGCUUGUUGAUGGGUGUGCGGCUGAUUAGAUAGUUGGCGGGGUAACGGCCCACCAAGUCUACGAUCAGUAGCUGAUGUGAGAGCAUGAUCAGCCACACGGACACUGAGACACGGGCCCGACUCCUACGGGAGGCAGCAGUAAGGAAUAUUGGACAAUGGACGCAAGUCUGAUCCAGCCAUGCCGCGUGAAGGAUUAAGGUCCUCUGGAUUGUAAACUUCUUUUAUAAGGGACGAAAAAAGGUCUUUCUAGAUCGUCUGACGGUACCUUAUGAAUAAGCACCGGCUAACUCCGUGCCAGCAGCCGCUGUAAUAC
rnacentral:rRNA from 1 species